rnacentral:rRNA from 1 species
UACGUAGGGGGCAAGCGUUGUCCGGAAUCAUUGGGCGUAAAGAGCGUGUAGGCGGUUUCUUAAGUCUGAUGUGAAAGCCCACGGCUCAACCGUGGAGGGUCAUUGGAAACUGGGGAACUUGAGUGCAGGAGAGAAGAGUGGAAUUCCACGUGUAGCGGUGAAAUGCGUAGAGAUGUGGAGGAACACCAGUGGCGAAGGCGACUCUUUGGUCUGUAACUGACGCUGAGGCGCGAAAGCGUGGGGAGCAAACAGG